UCACUAUGGCCAUGUUGUUGUCUGCAG
rnacentral:sRNA from 1 species